rnacentral:lncRNA from 1 species
GGGGGUGGCACCGAAGAGAAAAGGGUUGGGUAAACAAAAUUUUGAGUAAGUAAAAGGUUGGGUAAAUGAAAAACAAAACAACUCAAGGGUUGGGUAAUAAAAAUUUAUUGUCAUUUCCAAAGCAUGACCCACUGAAAUAUUGGAGACUGAAUCGAAAAGCAUUGUCAACAGUCAUUUGUCAAUACAAUAUGUGAGUUAAUCAGAGUCACUAUUUUGAUCAUAGUUUGACAAAACAAAUUGUGUUUCCAAAGAAAGUACAUGUGCAGACAACAUGAAACUUUAGACUGCAGAAAAUUUCACAAGCCGUUAUCAAACUCAUCUCACUGAAGUGAUAAAGGACAUGUAUGACAACUGAAUGGUAUCCUUUUGUUAAGUUUUUGGCCAGGGGUGGGUAGUUAUUUUUUAAUUGAUAUUUCAGGUUGGGUAAUCAAAUUUUUGUCUUUUUAAUGGUUGGGUCAGCAAAAUUUUUGACACGGAAAACAUUUCUCUUCGGUGCCACCCCCCGCUAUAAAUAAUG